GGGACAAUGAAACACACAGAGGGGCUUGGAAAGCAGAUAGUGACACACACAGGGGCUGCAGAAGGGGACAAUGACUCACAGAGACCCUGGGGAAGGUGACACAUUGUCCCCUUCUGCAGCCCCUAUGUGUGUCACUAUCUGCUUUCCCAGCCCCUCUGUAUGUUUCAUUGUCCCU